rnacentral:ncRNA from 1 species
UAGUUUAAUUAAUUUAAUAUAAAUUUAUUUUACAUAUAAAUUUUAGUGUUAAAUUUUAAUUAUUUUAAUAAUAAUUAUUUUUAUUAAGUAGUAAUUAAUAUUAAAAAUUUAAGAAAUUAUGAUUUAGUAAUAUUUAAAUUAUUAACAAAUUUUGUGCCAGCAGUUGCGGUUAUACAAAAAUUAAAUUAAAUUAGUUUAGUUAUUAAUGAUUAAAUUAGAUAUUAAUUUAAAUAUUAAAUUAUUAAGUGAAAUUUUAAUUUAAUUUAAAUUUAUUUAUGAUUUAAGAUUUAAUAAAUUUUAUAAUAAACUAGGAUUAGAUACCCUAUUAUUAAAAAUUUAAAUUAAAAUACUAAAAUAGUAUAUAAUAAUUUAUUGAAACUUAAAUAAUUUGGCGGUAUUUUAGUUAAUUUAGAGGAAUCUGUUUAAUAAUUGAUAAUCCACGAAUAAAUUUACUUAAUUUUAUGUUUUAUAUAUCGUUGUUAAAAAAAUAUUUUUUAAUAAAAAUAAUAUUUUAAUAUUUAAAUAAGAAAUUAAAUCAGAUCAAGAUGUAGAUUAUAGUUAAGAAUAUAAUGGAUUACAAUAAAUUUAUUUAAAUGAAUAUUAAUUUGUAACAAUUAAUUGAAGGUGGAUUUAAAUGUAAUUUUAUUUAAUUUAAUAAAAUGAUUGAAAAUUAAAAUAUGUACAUAUUGCCCGUCGCUUUCAUUAAUAAAUUGGAAUAAGUCGUAACAAAGUAGAGGUACUGGAAAGUGUUUCUAGAAAGAA